rnacentral:rRNA from 1 species
AUGCUGCGGUGGCUGGCGCGGCCGGCGGAGCGGUGCCUGGGGCGCGGUGGCUGCGGUAGCGGCAGCGGGGCCGGCGGGGGAGGGGACGGGUUGCUGUGGCACGCGGAGCUGAAGCCGCACGCGUCCGGGGAGUACUCCUUCGCCGUGGCGCAGGCCAACGAGAGGCUGGAAGACCAGGGCCAGGUGGCGACCUCGCCGGCGUCCACCUUCGUCGGGGUGUACGACGGCCACGGCGGGCCCGAGGCCUCGCGCUUCCUCGCCUCCCGCCUCUUCCCGAACCUCCACAAGUUUGCAUCAGAGCAAGGAGGCAUGUCGACAGACGCAAUCAAGAAGGCAUUCCAUGCUACAGAAGAGGAGUUCUUGCACCUAGUCAAGGGGACAUGGCUCAAACAGCCAAAGAUCGCCUCAGUCGGCUCAUGCUGCCUUGUUGGAGCAAUUGCCAAUAAUAAACUUUAUGUCGCCAAUUUAGGCGACUCCAGAGCUGUCCUUGGUCAUAGAGGACCAAAUGGCCGGGGAGUAGUGGCCGAGAGGCUGUCUAAUGAUCACAAUGUUGCUGACGAGGCGGUAAGAAAGGAGGUCAUUCAGCAGCAUCUUGAUGAUUCGCACAUAGUCGUCUACAGCAGGGGCGUUUGGCGGAUUAAGGGCAUCAUUCAGGUUUCCAGAUCAUUUGGGGAUGCCUACCUGAAGAAGCCUGAAUUUGCCAGAGACCCUAUAUUCCAGCAAUAUGUGUGUCCUGUACCGUUGAAGCGGGCCGUCAUAACAGCCGUGCCAUCGAUCAAAGUACACCAGAUAGGGCAGCAAGACCUCUUUGUAAUUUUUGCAUCGGACGGUCUGUGGGAGCAGUUGACCGACAGAGCGGCGGUCGAGAUCGUCUUUAAGAACCCGAGAGCGGGAAUAGCGAGGCGACUGGUGAGAGCGGCGAUCUCUGAAGCCGCGAGGAAAAAAGAGAUGAGGUACGUCGACAUGCAACACAUCGAAAGAGGGAUGAAGCGGCAUUUCCAUGACGAUAUCACAGUUGUGGUGCUCUACCUUGAUAGUCACAAACACGAUGCGCAAACGAAGUUCGGUAGCCUGGACGGUUUCAGGUUCACCAAUGCACCGGCGGACAUCUUCUCGCCAUCAGGCCAAACCGUGGAACCGACGGUGCUGUGA